rnacentral:rRNA from 1 species
CUGGAGUUUGCUCCAGCAGGUUAGCGGCGGACGGGUGAGUAACACGUGGGCAACCUGCCUGUAAGACUGGGAUAACUCCGGGAAACCGGAGCUAAUACCGGAUAGUAUCUUGAACCGCAUGGUUCAAGUUGGAAAGACGGUUUCGGCUGUCACUUACAGAUGGGCCCGCGGCGCAUUAGCUAGUUGGUGAGGUAAUGGCUCACCAAGGCAACGAUGCGUAGCCGACCUGAGAGGGUGAUCGGCCACACUGGGACUGAGACACGGCCCAGACUCCUACGGGAGGCAGCAGUAGGGAAUCUUCCGCAAUGGACGAAAGUCUGACGGAGCAACGCCGCGUGAGUGAUGAAGGUUUUCGGAUCGUAAAACUCUGUUGUUAGGGAAGAACAAGUGCGAGAGUAACUGCUCGCACCUUGACGGUACCUAACCAGAAAGCCACGGCUAACUACGUGCCAGCAGCCGCGGUAAUACGUAGGUGGCAAGCGUUGUC